rnacentral:misc_RNA from 1 species
AGUUUGAUCAUGGCUCAGAUUGAACGCUGGCGGGAUGCUUUACACAUGCAAGUCGAACGGCAGCACGGACUUCGGUCUGGUGGCGAGUAGCGAACGGUGAAAUAAUGUAUCGGAACAUUAUAGUAGCGAGGGAUAACUACGCGAAAGCGUAGCUAAUACCGCAUACGCCCUUCGGGGAAAGCGGGGGACCUUCGGGCCUCGCACUAUUAGAGCGGCCGAUAUCGGAUUAGCUAGUUGGUGGAGGUAACGGCUCACCAAGGCGACGAUCCGUAGCUGGUUUGGGAGGACGACCAGCCACACUGGGACUGAGACACGGCCCAGACUCCUACGGGAGGCAGCAGUGGGGAAUUUUGGACAAUGGAAACCUGAUCCAGCCAUCCCGCGUGUGCGAUGAAGGCCUUCCGGGUUGUAAGCACUUUUGGCAGGAAAGAAACGGCACGGGAUAUUACCCCGUGCAACUGGCGUACCUGCAGAAUAAGCACCGGCUAACUACGUGCCAGCAGCCGCGAUAUCGUAGGGUGCAAGCGUUAAUCGGAAUUACUGGGCGUAAAGCGUGCGCAGGCAGUUCGGGAAGAAAAGUGAGAGUCGAACUGUU